rnacentral:lncRNA from 1 species
AUAGGGAAUCCUUUCCUCAUUUCUUGUUUUUCUCAGGUUUGUCAAAGAUCAGAUAGUUGUAGAUAUGUGGCAUUAUUUCUGAGGGCUCUGUUCUGUUCCAUUGGUCUAUAUCUCUGUUUUGGUACCAGUACCAUGCUGUUUUGCUUACUGUAGCCUUGUAGCAUAGUUUGAAGUCAGGUAGCGUGAUGCCUCCAGCUUUGUUCUUUUGGCUUAGGAUUGACCUGGCAGUAUUCAGACGUGAAGUGCUGUGCUUUCUUGACUGAUCAGAGGACUCUUGACUGAGUGAUCUGGAAAGUGUCUCAAAGUCUAACUUCCCCACCCCUUUCUCCAGGGCCUUAUAUCAUUGUCCUUUGGAUGGCUGUUUUUCUUGGGAGUGCAAAUGAGGUGUGAAGUAACUUCUGAUCUUUUCUGGCACAGUAUGAAGUUGUGCGAGGCUCAGGGAAAUAGUUAGCGCCACGGAAGGCUCCAGACAGACUUGUUUGAAUUUGAACUUGAAAACCGCGUGUAUGUGUGUGUGUGAGAAUCGCUUGAACCCGGGAAGUGGAAGCUGCAGUGAGCCGAGAUCGCACCACUGCACUCCAGCCUGGCGACAGAGCGAGACUCCGUCUCCAAAAAAAACAAAAAACAAAAAACAAAAAAGCUAGAAACCGUACACACAGAAGGGGCAAAGAAACAGAACAAAUAGGAGAAUAUAUAUACACACACACAAAUGCACGUAUCUGACUGAAACAGUUGUCUCAGAUUAUCUAUCUAUCUAUCUAUCUAUCAUCUAUCUAUCAUCUAUCUAUCUGAAAUUAUUAUCAUUAUUAUAAGGCAUUGACUCAUGUGAUUUGAAGGCCGAGAAGUCCCAUGAUCUUCUGUCUGGAAGAUGAAGCCCCAGGAAAGCCAGUGGUAUAAAUGGGAGUUCUGAUAACUGGAGGGCCAUUGGUGUAGAUUCCUAUCUGAAUCUGAAAGCCUGAGAACCAACCAGGAGCUCCGAAGUUAGGAGAAGAUCGAUGUUCUUCAUUCAAGCAUUCAGGCAGAGGGAGGACAAAUCCAAUCUUCCUCUGCUUUUUUGUUUUAUUUAGGCCCUCAACAGAUUGGAUAAUGCCCACCCACAUUAGGGAGAGCCAUAUUUUUUACUCAGUCAACCAAUUCAAAUGCCAGUCUCUUCCAGAAACAUUCUCACAGACAUGCCCAGAAAUAAUGUUUUGAAUCAGAUAUCUGAGCAUGCUAUGGGCAUAUGGCUGGGCACAGUGGCUCAUGUCUGUAAUCCCAGCAGCACUUUGGGAGGCCGAGGUGGGCAGAUCACCUGAGGUCAUGAGUUUGAGACCAGUCUGGCCAACAUGAGGAAACUCUGUCUCUACUAAAAAUACGAAAAUUAGCCAGGCAUGGUGAUGUGUGCCUGUAAUCCCAGUUACUCGGGAGGCUGAGGCAGGAGAAUCAUUUGAACCCAAGAGGCAGAGGUUGCAGUGAGCCAAGAUCGUGCCACUGCACCCCAGCCUGGGCGACAGAGCGAGACCCUGUCUCAAAAAAAAAAAAAAAUCGAUGCAGGAUACUUUGGUAUUUUAAGAUUCACAAUGCUUACUACUUUUUGCUGAACUGUGUGUUUUAUUUAUAUAAAAUCUCUCUCUUCUGCUUAAUACUGUUGCCUUAAACUCUACUUUGAUAGUAAUAGUACCAAUCGUGUUUAUUUGUAUUUGUAGAUAUAUCUUUGCCCUUUCGUUUUAUGUCUUUGGGCUUAGUUGGUCCAACACCAGCUCUAAAAGUGAUGGGGGUUGGAGGAAGGGGUUGAAGAUCCAGCAGAACUGAAUGCCGAGUGUCUAACAGUGAAGCUCAGAGGCAGCAAUCAGAACACAUCCUCAGUCUAACCAGCUCUGUCUUUCAAGAAGUUUGCCAGGAUAUCUGAGUGCCUUUGUCUGCUCCUCUCUUAGCAGGUAAACAGAACUCUUGGCCUCUACUGAACUUGCUGCUUCUGGCUUCCUUGAACCUUGCCCAAUUCUACUAGCAAUAUAAUCUUUGUCACCCUUUGCUAAUUCCUGUGCCACUUGUUGGCCCAAACUGGGUCCAGUCUCAUUUUACCUAUCAUCCCAUCUGCCAAUGACUCUGGCUGUGACUGAUACACAAGUCUUGUCGCCUUGAUAUCUUUCCAGUUCUGGAUGAAACUAAAAAGAAUAAAUAUCUUAGAAAGCAACAGAAUUCCUACUAUAGUAAUUAAUCUCUAAAAAUUAAGAGAGGAAGAAACUAAGCACCUAUGAUCCAUACUGAGGUCAAAUUCUAAUAAAAAGAGCAGAAGUUUUAAGUCUAUAAAGCCAAUCAAAUUUGAAUUGUGGGUAAUUCCAAGUUACCAUCCAAGCCAAGGGAGCCUGUGGUCAGAUGCCAUUGCUGAUGUUCAUAGACUCAAGGUAAAGGCUAGCUGCAGGAGGCCAUGCAGUAAGUCAUGUGAUCUCACUGGACUAUGGGAUGCAGCAGCUUUCAGAGAGCCCUGGAAGUAGAGGCUUAAUCCAGCCUGGGUGACAGAGCGAGACUCUGUCUCAAAAAAAAAAAAAAAAGAAAGAAAGAAAAUAUGUUCACAUGUUAUCCAGUUUGAUUCACAAAAAACUAUUUUAGUCAGGCUCAUUAUCUUAAUUUUACAGAUAACAAAACAUAGGCUCACACUGGCUAAGAAGCUCAUGCAAAUUUUUGUACAUUGAUUUUGUAUCCUGAGACUUUGCUGAAGUUGCUUAUCAGUUUAAGGAGAUUUUGGGCUGAGACAGUGGGGUUUUCUAGAUAUACUAUCAUGUCGUCUGCAGACAGGGACAAUUUGACUUCCUCUUUUCCUAAAUGAAUGCCUUUUAUUUCCUCCUGCCUAAUUGCCCUGGCCAGAACUUCCAACACUAUGUUGAAUAGGAGUGGUGAGAGAGGGCAUCCCUGUCUUGUGCCAGUUUUCAAAGGGAAUGCUUCCAGUUUUUGCCCAUUCAGUAUGAUAUUGGCUGUGGGUUUGUCAUAGAUAGCUGUUAUUAUUUUGAAAUACGUCCCAUCAAUACCUAAUUUAUUGAGAGUUUUUAGCAUGAAGGGUUGGUGAAUUUUGUCAAAGGCCUUUUCUGCAUCUGUUGAGAUAAUCAUGUGGUUUUUGUCUUUGGUUCUGUUUAUAUGCUGUAUUACAUUUAUUGAUUUGCGUAUAUUGAACCAGCCUUGCAUCCCAGGGAUGAAGCCCACUUGAUCAUGGUGGAUAAGCUUUUUGAUGUGCUGCUGGAUUCGGUUUGCCAGUAUUUUACUGAGGAUUUUUGCAUCAAUGUUCAUCAAGGAUAUUGGUCUAAAAUUCUCUUUUUUGGUUGUGUCUCUGCCCGGCUUUGGUAUCAGGAUGAUGCUGGCCUCAUAAAAUGAGUUAGGGAGGAUUCCCUCUUUUUCUAUUGAUUGGAAUAGUUUCAGAAGGAAUGGUACCAGUUCCUCCUUGUACCUCUGGUAGAAUUCGGCUGUGAAUCCAUCUGGUCCUGGACUCUUUUUGGUUGGUAAGCUAUUGAUUCUAUUCAGAGAUUCAACUUCUUCCUGGUUUAGUCUUGGGAGAGUGUAUGUGUCGAGGAAUGUAUCCAUUUCUUCUAGAUUUUCUAGUUUAUUUGCGUAGAGGUGUUUGUAGUAUUCUCUGAUGGUAGUCUGUAUUUCUGUGGGAUCGGUGGUGAUAUCCCCUUUAUCAUUUUUUAUUGUGUCUAUUUGAUUCUUCUCUCUUUUUUUCUUUAUUAGUCUUGCUAGUGGUCUCUCAAUUUUGUUGAUCCUUUCAAAAUACCAGCUCCUGGAUUCAUUAAUUUUUUGAAGGGUUUUUUUUGGUCUCUAUUUCCUUCAGUUCUGCUCUGAUUUUAGUUAUUUCUUGCCUUCUGCUAGCUUUUGAAUGUGUUUGCUCUUGCUUUUCUAGUUCUUUUAAUUGUGAUGUUAGGGUGUCAAUUUUGGAUCUUUCCUGCUUUCUCUUGUGGGCAUGUAGUGCUAUAAAUUUCCCUCUACACACUGCUUUGAAUGCGUCCCAGAGAUUCUGGUAUGUUGUGUCUUUGUUCUCGUUGGUUUCAAAGAACAUCUUUACUUCUGCCUUCAUUUCGUUAUGUACCCAGUAGUCAUUCAGGAGCAGAUUGUUCAGUUUCCAUGUAGUUGAGCAGUUUUGAGUGAGAUUCUUAAUCCUGAGUUCUAGUUUGAUUGCACUGUGGUCUGAGAGAUAGUUUGUUAUAAUUUCUGUUCUUUUACAUUUGCUGAGGAGAGCUUUACUUCCAACUAUGUGGUCAAUUUUGGAAUAGGUGUGGUGUGGUGCUGAAAAAAAUGUAUAUUCUGUUGAUUUGGGGUGGAGAGUUCUGUAGAUGUCUAUUACGUCUGCUUGGUGCAGAGCUGGGUUCUAUUCCUGGGUAUCCUUGUUUACUUUCUGUCUCAUUGAUCUGUCUAAUAUUGACAGUGGGGUGUUAAAGUCUCCCAUUAUUAUUGUGUGGGAGUCUAAGUCUCUUUGUAGGUCACUCAGGACUUGCUUUAUGAAUCUGGGUGCUCCUGUAUUGGGUGCAUAUAUAUUUAGGAUAGUUAGCUCUUCUUGUUGAAUUGAUCCCUUUACCAUUAUGUAAUGGCCUUCUUUGUCUCUUUUGAUCUUUGUUGGUUUAAAGUCUGUUUUAUCAGAGACUAGGAUUGCAACCCCUGCCUUUUUUUGUUUUCCAUUUGCUUGGUAGAUCUUCCUCCAUCCCUUUAUUUUGAGCCUAUGUGUGUCUCUGCACAUGAGAUGGGUUUCCUGAAUACAGCACACUGAUGGGUCUUGACUCUUUAUCCAAUUUGCCAGUCUGUGUCUUUUAAUUGGAGCAUUUAGCCCAUUUACAUUUAAGGUUAGUAUUGUUAUGUGUGAAUUUGAUCCUGUCAUUACGAUGUUAGCUGGUGAUUUUGCUUGUUAGUUGAUGAAGUUUCUUCCUAGCAUCAGUGGUCUUUACGAUUUGGCCUGUUUUUGCAGUGGCUGGUACCACUUGUUCCUUUCCAUGUUUAGUGCUUCCUUCAGGCGCUCUUUUAGGGCAGGCCUGGUGGUGACAAAAUCUCUCAGCAUUUGCUUAUCUGUAAAGUAUUUUAUUUCUCCUUCACUUAUGAAGCUUAGUUUGGCUGGAUAUGAAAUUCUGGGUUGAAAAUUCUUUUCUUUAAGAAUGUUGAAUAUUGGCCCCCACUCUCUUCUGGCUUGUAGAGUUUCUGCCAAGAGAUCUGCUGUUAGUCUGAUGGGCUUCCCUUUGAGGGUAACCCGACCUUUCUCUCUGGCUGCCCUUAACAUUUUUUCCUUCAUUUCAACUUUGGUGAAUCUGACAAUUAUGUGUCUUGGAGUUGCCCUUCUCAAGGAGUAUCUUUGUGGCGUUCUCUGUAUUUCCUGAAUCUGAGGAGAGGCACUCUGCA